AUUGAACGCUGGCGGCAGGCCUAACACAUGCAAGUCGAACGGUAACAGGGAUCAGCUUGCUGAUUCGCUGACGAGUGGCGGACGGGUGAGUAAUGUCUGGGAAACUGCCUGAUGGAGGGGGAUAACUACUGGAAACGGUAGCUAAUACCGCAUAACGUCGCAAGACCAAAGAGGGGGACCUUCGGGCCUCAUGCCAUCGGAUGUGCCCAGAUGGGAUUAGCUAGUAGGUGGGGUAACGGCUCACCUAGGCGACGAUCCCUAGCUGGUCUGAGAGGAUGACCAGCCACACUGGAACUGAGACACGGUCCAGACUCCUACGGGAGGCAGCAGUGGGGAAUAUUGCACAAUGGGCGCAAGCCUGAUGCAGCCAUGCCGCGUGUAUGAAGAAGGCCUUCGGGUUGUAAAGUACUUUCAGCGGGGAGGAAGGGAGUAAAGUUAAUACCUUUGCUCAUUGACGUUACCCGCAGAAGAAGCACCGGCUAACUCCGUG
rnacentral:rRNA from 1 species